rnacentral:rRNA from 1 species
AGGGGAGCGGCAGACGGGUGAGUAACGCGUGGGAAUCUACCCUUUUCUACGGAAUAACGCAGGGAAACUUGUGCUAAUACCGUAUGAGCCCUUCGGGGGAAAGAUUUAUCGGGAAAGGAUGAGCCCGCGUUGGAUUAGCUAGUUGGUGGGGUAAAGGCCUACCAAGGCGACGAUCCAUAGCUGGUCUGAGAGGAUGAUCAGCCACAUUGGGACUGAGACACGGCCCAAACUCCUACGGGAGGCAGCAGUGGGGAAUAUUGGACAAUGGGCGCAAGCCUGAUCCAGCCAUGCCGCGUGAGUGAUGAAGGCCCUAGGGUUGUAAAGCUCUUUCACCGGUGAAGAUAAUGACGGUAACCGGAGAAGAAGCCCCGGCUAACUUCGUGCCAGCAGCCGCGGUAAUACGAAGGGGGCUAGCGUUGUUCGGAAUUACUGGGCGUAAAGCGCACGUAGGCGGACAUUUAAGUCAGGGGUGAAAUCCCGGGGCUCAACCCCGGAACUGCCUUUGAUACUGGGUGUCUAGAGUCCGGAAGAGGUGAGUGGAAUUCCGAGUG